UACGUAGGGUGCGAGCGUUAAUCGGAAUUACUGGGCGUAAAGCGUGCGCAGGCGGUUUUGUAAGCCAGAUGUGAAAGCCCCGGGCUCAACCCGGUGGAAUGGCAUUUGGGACUGCAAGGCUGGAGUUUGGCAGAGGAGACUGGAAUUCCUGGUGUAGCAGUGAAAUGCGUAGAAUAUCAGGAGGAAUACCGAUGGCGAAGGCAGGUCUCUGGGCUAUAACUGACGCUCAUGCACGAAAGCGUGGGGAGCAAACAGGAUUAGAGUACCCGGG
rnacentral:rRNA from 1 species